GAAACCGUUCAUCCCUAAUCUCCCAUGCCCCUAUUCCGUACCGCCACCGCCGCCGAACCAGCAACCCUGCUGCGACGACCUCUGACAUUGAAGCUCAACCCACUGGCAAAAGAGUUCUUUCCUUCUUCCUAUGACCGUUAUGAGGGGCUCAACAAUUUUUUGGCAGCUAAUAAGACUUUGGGGGCUGAUGGCUUCCGAAAUAACACAACGUAAAACCAAAUAAACAUUGUCUAUGUCUUCCUCCUCGCGGUCCUUAAGAUCAUAUUCCACAUGCUGAUUCCCAGGAGAGAGGUCAGGGCUUCUUUCCUUGCAAAACAUAGCUUCGACACCUUCAGAAUGAUUACGACCACAUUCCAUAUGCCAAUUGGCUGAAGAUGAAGUUUUAACAACAUAGUUGUUUUGAUUCAGAACCACACAAUCUUCGUCUAUGUAUUCUUCCUCCCUGUCCUCUGAUAUUCUCCAGUUUUGAGUAUUCCUUCCAUUAUUUGAACCAUUGUUUCUCCUGUUUUGAGUACUCCUUUCUUUAUGUGAUUCACUGUCAAUAUCA